UACACACGACCGUACCGCAAACCGACACUGGUGCGCGAGAUGAGUAUUCUAAGGCGCUUGAGAGAACUCAGGAGAAGGAACUCGGCAAAUUGACACCGUAACUUCGGAAGAAGGUGUGCCUUUAGUAGGUGAAGUCCCUCGCGGAUGGAGCCCAAUGAGGUUGCAAAAAAUCGGUGGCUGCGACUGUUUAUUAAAAACACAGCACUCUGCAAACACGAAAGUGGACGUAUAGGGUGUGACGCCUGCCCGGUGCUGGAAGAUUAAAUGAUGGGGUGCAAGCUCUUGAUUGAAGUCCCAGUAAACGGCGGCCGUAACGAUAACGGUCCUAAGGUAGCGAAAUUCCUUGUCGGGUAAGUUCCGACCUGCACGAAUGGCGUAACGAUGGCCACACUGUCUCCUCCUGAGACUCAGCGAAGUUGAAAUGUUUGUGAUGAUGCAAUCUCCCCGCGGAAAGACGGAAAGACCCCAUCAACCUUUACUGUAGCUUUGUAUUGGACUUUGAACAGAUCUGUGUAGGAUAGGUGGGAGGCUUUGAAGCAGGGUCGCUAGAUCUUGUGGAGCCAACGUUGAAAUACCACCCUGGUGUGUUUGAGGUUCUAACCUAGGCCCGUAAUCCGGGUUGGGGACAGUGCAUGGUAGGCAGUUUGACUGGGGCGGUCUCCUCCCAAAGUGUAACGGAGGAGUUCGAAGGUACGCUAGUUACGGUCGGACAUCGUGACGAUAGUGCAAUGGCAUAAGCGUGCUUAACUGCGAGACUGACAAGUCGAGCAGAUGCGAAAGCAGGACAUAGUGAUCCGGUGGUUCUGUAUGGAAGGGCCAUCGCUCAACGGAUAAAAGGUACUCUGGGGAUAACAGGCUGAUACCGCCCAAGAGUUCAUAUCGACGGCGGUGUUUGGCACCUCGAUGUCGGCUCAUCUCAUCCUGGGGCUGUAGCCGGUCCCAAGGGUAUGGCUGUUCGCCAUUUAAAGAGGUACGUGAGCUGGGUUUAAAACGUCGUGAGACAGUUUGGUCCCUAUCUUCCGUGGGCGCUGCAGAUUUGAGGAAGCCUGCUCCUAGUACGAGAGGACCGGAGUGGACGCACCUCUGGUCUAUCGGUUGUCACGCCAGUGGCAUUGCCGAGUAGCUAUGUGCGGAAGAGAUAACCGCUGAAAGCAUCUAAGCGGGAAACUCGUUUCAAGAUGAGAUCUGCCGGGGCCUUGAGCCCCCUGAAGAGUCGUUCAAGACCAGGACGUUGAUAGGUCGGGUGUGGAAGCGCAGUAAUGCGUUAAGCUAACCGAUACUAAUUGCUCGUGCGGCUUGACCU
rnacentral:rRNA from 1 species